UACGUAGGGUGCGAGCGUUGUCCGGAAUCACUGGGCGUAAAGGGCGCGUAGGCGGCUCAUGAAGGCUGUGGUGAAAGUCCGGGGCUCAACCUCGGAUCGGCCGUGGCGACUCGUGGGCUGGAGCACUGUAGAGGCGGGUGGAAUUCCGGGUGUAGCGGUGGAAUGCGUAGAGAUCCGGAAGAACACCAGUGGCGAAGGCGGCCCGCUGGGCAGUGGCUGACGCUGAGGCGCGACAGCGUGGGGAGCAAACAGG
rnacentral:rRNA from 1 species